rnacentral:rRNA from 1 species
UACGAAGGGGGCUAGCGUUGCUCGGAAUGACUGGGCGUAAAGGGCGCGUAGGCGGUUUGUCCAGUCAGGUGUGAAAUUCCCGGGCUCAACCUGGGGGCUGCACUUGAUACGUAGGAACUGGAGUGGGGAAGAGGGUCGUGGAAUUCCCAGUGUAGAGGUGAAAUUCGUAGAUAUUGGGAAGAACACCGGUGGCGAAGGCGGCGACCUGGUCCUUGACUGACGCUGAGGCGCGAAAGCGUGGGGAGCAAACAGG